GAGUUUAAAGGGAAAAGGGAUUUGAAUCCCUAAUUCCUUGCUUGAACCUCAUAUCCCACGUCCCUGAUACUUCACCAUCUUCUUCAAUGUUCCCGUUCGUCCUCCUAGCUCUUAGCAAAGGGAGUCACUCUCGGAUGGAACCAAUUUUAGCCAAAGGGUGCAUGGUUACUCCUUAUUACUCCGCGUUCGUUUCGGAAGAUAUCCUUAAUCCUCCUUUUCUUCCCUUCCUUCUAAUCGACGACUACAGAGGUGCCCUUACGGUGAUGGCGAGACGACGGCAGGAUGGCAUGAUGGUGAUGGCUUGCUAUUAGGGUUGUGAUGGUUUUCGGGUAAGGGGUUUAUUCGCGGUUGGGACAUCCCUUCCCCUUUUCGUUCCGAUAAAGGUGAAUUCAUCUCCUUUUCUACUUUUCGAUUUUACUUGAUUGGUUUUUGGUUGCUGCUUGGUUUUAUUGAAUAGGUGAAUUGAGGGAGAAUGCGGUAUGGUGUGGUGGUUCGCGGUGGCUUUCCGACUCGGGGUUUCCUUUCUCACGAUGAUCACCAAAAUGAGGUAUGGAUUUAGUUACCGUCUUCAAUUAAUUAUUUCCGAAAGGGUUGGGAUUACCAAAUUCUUAACAACUGGAAAAUGAUUCCUUUAUUGGAGUUACUAGGAAAUUAGGGGUAUGCUCUCCCGUAAGCUUGAUUCCGUUUGUUAGAUAAUUCUUUAAUUAAGCCUCAGAUUCGUGUUACCGACACAUCAUGAUGAUAAAGAUGAGCAUCCUCAGUUAUUGCUUUUCAUUUUAACAACUUACAUAUAAGGCUCUUACUGAAAGUAUAUGUCUAUUUAGCUAUUACAGAUGUAUAAUAAGUAAAACGUCCUUCUGCUUGUAUUUCAUGAAAAAAAUCUUUUUUGAGAUUAACUUGCGUUUCAACUUAGCACAAAUAUAUACGUUUCUGGACAACCGAGUAAACAACAGGCAGUUAAUGUAAGCAUAUAUAUUUAGAAUGCAAACUAAGAGAUAAAUGAUAUGUCUAAUGAAUACAUCUUUUAUGAUCGGAAUGCUUACCUGAUUGUACGAUUAUCCUGGUAUUCUGAGUGUAUGCUCAGUGCUGUGAUGUGUGUUCUGAAUGUGCUAUCCUCUUCUUGAUAAUUGUGCUAUCUGUGGUCUGAUUGUUGACUUAUGGGUGUGGUAUAUCACUCUUUGAUAUAUGCGUUGCAAAUGUAGUUAUUCUUAGACUCAUAUGAUAUGUCUCUUUAACAACUGUGUAUUGACUGUUCUCUGGUUCUUUUGUAUGGUUAUAGGUUAUGUAUGUGAUCUCUGUUUGGGGCUAUGUAAGUGUAUGUGUGUCUGGAUUUUUCACUAGUUGUGUGUAUUGUGUAUGUUUCUCCCCCUGACUUGCGUGUGUUGUAUGCCUUUUAUAGCUGUAUGUUUAUGUUGCAUUGGCCUUUUGCUUUCUGGAUACCCAUUCUGAAACUGCCCAAUAACUAUUCCCAUUCAUGCUGAUUAUGAUUUUUAUGUAACUGCUGAGAUAUUUCUGAAUUCUCACCUACUGAUUUGCCUUUUAUGCUUACUGGAAUACAUAACUGUAAAAGGAAUAUGCCAACUGGUGAUGACUUCUGGUUUGCAUUUUUUGAAACUCUUGUAUUGUCCCAGUUAUUGCUGAUUUAUGUGCAUACGUAACUGUUUGAGAAGAUUCUUAUUUGCCAAUGAUGACCAUAAUUGGAGUAGAAUGGUAACUGGCCUUUAUCAUGUAACUCAUGGCUGAUUGGUGUGAUUGCUUUGGAAUAAUUAUUAUUUACUUAAGUGUAUGUGUAACCAGAAGAGAAUAUGUAUUCUGGUUUGCUGCUUUUGAACUACCAUCUGCCUUAUUCAGGGAAUCAUGGUUAUAACUAUCUUCCAAGAGGUAUUUGUAUGCUAGAAGUAUCAAUUGUAUCCAUUGUAUGUACAUUAGUAAGAACUUUUGUGACUGAUUCCCCUAGUUUAAUGUGUCCAUUCAAGAACAAUUCUAUGCAUAUCUUCCUGAUGAGGAUUCUACAAAUCACGUUAUUGUCAUUGUCUUCAUUUGCUGCCAAUCCUCUCUCUCUAGCUGUUGUUAUCUUGGCUGUUUUCUCAUUUGGGUUAAUGCUGGAUUUUUAGGUUCAAGUGCAGACCUGGUAAUGGCUUGUGGGCGUUGGCCAAAGCCAAAAUCAACAAUAAAGGGUUUUGGUUAUUGAUCCCCUGCCCCUUCUAUUAAUAAGGAUGUUGUUAUUGCUAUAUUUCUUGUACUAAUAUAUUCUGUUUGUUUUUGUAGUGGAUGAUUCUAUUUGGUGUUAGACUCAUUGACUGCUCCAUUUGGUUCACCAUAUCUCUUCGCCUCUUUCAUUAUUUUACAUCAUCAUUAAUUGUUGGUACCAAAGAGCAACACAAGCUUCAGAUGCGAAAUCUCAGUGUCCAGGUGAGAUGCUAUAAUAAGGUUCCAAUUGUAGUCUAGUUUUCUGCACAUAUGCAAGAGCAGUGAGAUUCCUUUCUCACUUAGCCUUUUGUCACGGUUGUUCAUCAAUUUAGUCAAGAGUAACUUUUUCACAACUUUCUUUUCCUUUUGCAGGAUUAGCUAUCUGCACCAACACAACUCUUUCUUGACACACAGGGUGCCGAAUGAGAAGCUGCUCCAUGGCCAAAAGCUUUAAACUUAUUCCCUUGAAAAUAUCCAUGUCAUCCGCACCAAGCAACAUUAUCUUCCCUUGAUCAGAGAACUGCUUAACAAGCUCUCCAACUUUUUCUUCAGUCUUUGGCAUGCUCAUUUAUUGAAUUCAUGAUUCUAACAGUAGCUUUUUGUAUAUCAAUUACACUAUGGUGAACUCAUUAGGAAAUCUCCUGAUUUAAUGCACGUAUAUUUUAUACUAUGCACCCUUUUAUUCCAAAUUCGGGCCACUGUUUGUAUGAUAGAUAGUGUAGGCUCCUGAGUAACUUUAUGUCCAGGUUAUGGUCUUUGAUAGCAUUAAUCAAACUAUACCUUAAUUCUUAAUCCGAG
rnacentral:lncRNA from 1 species